rfam:Dipodomys ordii contig_47365, whole genome shotgun sequence.
GGGAAGGUGGCUCAGUGGUAGAGCGCUUGCCUUACACGCAUGAGGCCCUGGGUUCGAUUCCUCAGCACCCCA